rnacentral:piRNA from 1 species
UGAAUUCAGAGAUUCAUCUGCCUCCGUUU